rnacentral:rRNA from 1 species
UGGGGAAUAUUGGACAAUGGGCGCAAGCCUGAUCCAGCAAUGCCGCGUGAGUGAUGAAGGCCUUAGGGUUGUAAAGCUCUUUCACCGGGGAAGACGAUGACGGUACCCGGAGAAGAAGCCCCGGCUAACUUCGUGCCAGCAGCCGCGGUAAUACGAAGGGGGCUAGCGUUGUUCGGAAUUACUGGGCGUAAAGCGCGCGUAGGCGGUCCGCCAAGUCGGGGGUGAAAGCCCGGGGCUCAACCCCGGAACGGCCUCCGAGACUGGCGGACUGGAGUGCGGAAGAGGGUCGUGGAAUUCCCAGUGUAGAGGUGAAAUUCGUAGAUAUUGGGAAGAACACCGGUGGCGAAGGCGGCGACCUGGUCCGUAACUGACGCUGAGGCGCGACAGCGUGGGGAGCAAA